rnacentral:rRNA from 1 species
UGGGGAAUAUUGGACAAUGGGGGGAACCCUGAUCCAGCCAUGCCGCGUGUGUUAAGAAGGCCUUAUGGUUGUAAAGCACUUUAAGCGAGGAGGAGGGUACUGGUAUUAAUACUACCAGGUACUGGACGUUACUCGCAGAAUAAGCACCGGCUAACUCUGUGCCAGCAGCCGCGGUAAUACAGAGGGUGCGAGCGUUAACCGGAUUUACUGGGCGUAAAGCGUGCGUAGGCGGCUAAUUGAGUCGGAUGUGAAAUCCCCGAGCUUAACUUGGGAAUUGCAUUCGAUACUGGUUAGCUAGAGUGUGGGAGAGGAUGGUAGAAUUCCAGGUGUAGCGGUGAAAUGCGUAGAGAUCUGGAGGAAUACCGAUGGCGAAGGCAGCCAUCUGGCCUAACACUGACGCUGAGGUACGAAAGCAUGGGGAGCAAACAGG